UUAUAUGGAGAGUUUGAUCCUGGCUCAGGACGAACGCUGGCGGCGUGCCUAAUACAUGCAAGUCGAGCGGACGGAUGGGAGCUUGCUCCCUGAAGUCAGCGGCGGACGGGUGAGUAACACGUGGGCAACCUGCCUGUAAGACUGGGAUAACUUCGGGAAACCGGAGCUAAUACCGGAUAAUGCAUUUCCCCUCAUGGGGAUAUGCUGAAAGAUGGUUUCGGCUAUCACUU
rnacentral:rRNA from 1 species